rnacentral:misc_RNA from 1 species
GAUGAAGAACGUAGCGAAAUGCGAUACGUAAUGUGAAUUGCAGAAUUCAGUGAAUCAUCGAGUCUUUGAACGCACAUUGCGCCCGCCAGUAUUCUGGCGGGCAUGCCUGUUCGAGCGUCAUUUCAACCCUCAGGCCCCGCCUGGCGUUGGGGAUCGGCGCGGCCCUCUCCGGGCUGCCGGCCCCGAAAACUAGUGGCGGUCUCGCUGUAGUCCUCCUCUGCGCAGUAGCAACGCUCGCACUGGAACUCGGCGCGGCCACGCCGUAAAACACCCCACUUCUGAAAGUUGACCUCGGAUCAGGUAGGAAUACCCGCUGAACUUAAGCAUAUCAAUAAGCGGAGGA